AUUCAAAGAAGAAAUCCUUGGCUUUGCUAGGUUUUUGCCUCUUUUACUCGCCUUGGUUGUUCUAUGUUCCUCUCUAUCCGCGCUGCUUCCUCGUUCUCCCCUGCACCGUGUUUGUUUUCUGAUCCUCGACGCCGCAACACGCUUCUGCCGCCGCCGCUACACUCGGGGAGAUGGGAGGCCAUUUUGUGUAAUUUCUGAAGUCCUUGGUUCCAGUGAUGAAGAUUAUUUUGAAGAAGUUUACAAUGUGACCAUUUUGCGUAGGAGACUGCUCUAUUUGUUAUAUUAGUCCCAAUUUAUGAUGAUUCUCUUAAUAAAGUUAAUUUAUCUAUGAAUUGCACAACCGUUUUGGAAAAUUCAGUUCUUACCUAUCAAAAGAUUCAAAACCUUGAAUACUUUGAUAAUAUCUAUCCUUUUUAAUUGUUCAUCUUCUGAUCUUCCUUCUUGUUCAUUCCUUAGAAUUCAUCUGUUGUUUCUAUUUAUCUAUAUAUUAUUGCAUACUUAUCCAAGAAAAAUAAAUUAGCAGGAGAUUUUAAAAGUACCUGACACAUGCCUUCAAAUUUCAAAUAUACAAUAUGACACAUGCUUGUUUCUGAACUUAGCGUUAUUCAUGUCAGUAUUGUGCAAAUGGAGAUGUAUGGCAUCUUUCAGAUGGAGCUUAUGAAACAACUACUCUUCUCAAGGAUGUUGGAAGUUUCACGAAUCAAAUAUAUCUUUUUCCUCCUUAACCAUUGUUUUCUUUUAAGUUUGUCCCUCCUAUCAUAGUAAGAUGAUAAACACUGGCACAGUUAAGAUGACUGUUGUAUCCAACUUUGAUUCCCGCUUAAGGAAACUAUUGAAGGAUCUUAAUGUUUUGAAUCUGUGAGCUUCUGUAGUCCCUUCAAUAUGGUUUUACUUAACUCAUGCAUAUUUUAGGGAUGUAUUGAAAUCUUUGCAUUAAUGUUUAUGCGAACUUGCUUGUUGAACUUCUCUUAAUUUGCUCAAAUGUUAGAGUGUCUGUGUACACCUUUCAUAAUGUCUGAUUAUGGUUUUUUUUUGCUUCAGUUUGAUAAAUUUAAUAUUCUUAACAAAUAAUUUCGAAUAAAGAUAUCAAACUCUAGAGUUCAUUUGAAGUCAUGAAGCUUAGAUAAAAUUGAAGUCAUGAAGCUUUGAUAAAUUGGAAGUUUGGCAUGGGAAUGAAUGAUGAGUUAGGUGUAAGUAGAUUAAGUCUUGUUUUUAUUCUAUAUCUUAUGAUAUAAAUCAUUGUGAUUAUUACAUAGAUACUCUUAAUUGCCUGACAUAUUCAGGAAACCUAAAAACUACUCGAAUGUGAAAGAUGAAGAAGAAGCACCAUAACAAAAAUCAUUGUGAAUUUGUUUCUAAUCAAUUGAUCAGUAUUUUUUCAUUGAUUAAACUUGAUAAAGGUGGUGUUGGAUUAGCUUCACAAUCACAAGUGCAACAAUUCAAAGAAGCAAUUGGUUCAACUAAGUAGGAAGGGUUUCCAUCCCCUGCCAUAGUCACAAGAAUCUUGGACUCAUUAUGAUCAAUAACCACAUUACUAGGCAUUGUGCUUUAACAGGAAGAAGAGAUUGGCUGAGACGAAGGAAGCAACUGAAGUUGAGAUUUAGAUCAGUGGUUCCAAUUUCAGGAUCUGAUUUUGUUUGAGAGGUUUCACAGGCUCCCUCUGAUGUUUGGGUGGUUGUCAUCCUUUACAAAGAUGGGUAUGCUAGAUGACAUUUCUAAGUUCAAAUUUCAGGAAAUAUUUCUGAACACCACACGUCCUCAUAUAAUAUCUAUAAAUUACUUGGUGCAUUGAAGAAUUUGUCACAAGAUAUCCUGUAACAAAAUAAAUUUGUUAAGAUAAUAUCAACUGAUUGCAUUCCCAAUCUGCCCACCGUAUUGGUAUACAACAAUGGAGCAGUCAAGGAAAAUUGUGUUGGCUUGUGUAGUUUUGGACGAAGAUGCACUCUUGAAGGAAUUUAAUUGAUUUUAUCUUAUGAUGCCUUUUGUGAAA